rnacentral:snoRNA from 1 species
UUGCAAGCCUCCAGCGUGCUUGGGUCUGCAGUGACCCUGUGCAUUCCUACAGUGCUUGCAAGAACAGGUUUGAAAUGGUUUCAGGCCUUGCUCUGCUCCAUCUACAGACCAAGGAAAUAGACAUUCAGACCGUU